GUUAUCUGAGGUGAAGAUUUCGUCCGUGUCACACACCCUAUGGGUUAAAAGAUAUGCGGGAGGUUCGGACGCCCGCCAGAUAAC
rnacentral:ncRNA from 12 species